rnacentral:rRNA from 1 species
ACGAACGCUGGCGGCGUGGAUAAGACAUGCAAGUCGAACGAGAGAAUUGCUAGCUUGCUAAUAAUUCUCUAGUGGCGCACGGGUGAGUAACACGUGAGUAACCUGCCCCCGAGAGCGGGAUAGCCCUGGGAAACUGGGAUUAAUACCGCAUAGUAUCGAAAGAUUAAAGCAGCAAUGCGCUUGGGGAUGGGCUCGCGGCCUAUUAGUUAGUUGGUGAGGUAACGGCUCACCAAGGCGAUGACGGGUAGCCGGUCUGAGAGGAUGUCCGGCCACACUGGAACUGAGACACGGUCCAGACACCUACGGGUGGCAGCAGUCGAGAAUCAUUCACAAUGGGGGAAACCCUGAUGGUGCGACGCCGCGUGGGGGAAUGAAGGUCUUCGGAUUGUAAACCCCUGUCAUGUGGGAGCAAAUUAAAAAGAUAGUACCACAAGAGGAAGAGACGGCUAACUCUGUGCCAGCAGCCGCGGUAAUACAGAGGUCUCAAGCGUUGUUCGGAAUCACUGGGCGUAAAGCGUGCGUAGGCUGUUUCGUAAGUCGUGUGUGAAAGGCGCGGGCUCAACCCGCGGACGGCACAUGAUACUGCGAGACUAGAGUAAUGGAGGGGGAACCGGAAUUCUCGGUGUAGCAGUGAAAUGCGUAGAUAUCGAGAGGAACACUCGUGGCGAAGGCGGGUUCCUGGACAUUAACUGACGCUGAGGCACGAAGGCCAGGGGAGCGAAAGGGAUUAGAUACCCCUGUAGUCCUGGCAGUAAACGGUGCACGCUUGGUGUGCGGGGAAUCGACCCCCUGCGUGCCGGAGCUAACGCGUUAAGCGUGCCGCCUGGGGAGUACGGUCGCAAGAUUAAAACUCAAAGAAAUUGACGGGGACCCGCACAAGCGGUGGAGUAUGUGGCUUAAUUCGAUGCAACGCGAAGAACCUUACCUGGGCUUGACAUGUAAUGAACAACAUGUGAAAGCAUGCGACUCUUCGGAGGCGUUACACAGGUGCUGCAUGGCCGUCGUCAGCUCGUGUCGUGAGAUGUUGGGUUAAGUCCCGCAACGAGCGCAACCCCUGUUGCCAGUUACCAGCACGUGAAGGUGGGGACUCUGGCGAGACUGCCCAGAUCAACUGGGAGGAAGGUGGGGACGACGUCAGGUCAGUAUGGCCCUUAUGCCCAGGGCUGCACACGUACUACAAUGCCCAGUACAGAGGGGGCCGAAGCCGCGAGGCGGAGGAAAUCCUAAAAACUGGGCCCAGUUCGGACUGUAGGCUGCAACCCGCCUACACGAAGCCGGAAUCGCUAGUAAUGGCGCAUCAGCUACGGCGCCGUGAAUACGUUCCCGGGUCUUGUACACACCGCCCGUCACAUCAUGGAAGCCGGUCGCACCCGAAGUAUCUGAAGCCAACCGCAAGGAGGCAGGGUCCUAAGGUGAGACUGGUAACUGGGAUG